UGUAAAAAAAUGUCAAAUCAUGAGUUAAGAACCCCGACUAAGAAACUAGGGUUAAUCAUGCUCUUAGUUUUGCUUAUAAGCUAUGACUAAUGCUCAUUUUUAUUACAUAAUAGAUCUGUUCGUUUGGUUGCUGCAGCUAUCUGCGUCGGCGUUGGCGGCAAUUUUUUCCGUGACUCUUGUUCGUUUGAUUGACGCUGGUAGCUGCGUCUUGACGCUGCGUUUAGAUGCUGCGUCUGGCAUCAAAAAAAAUUGGACGCGGAUAAAACUCGCGGUCGUGUCAAAUUUUCUGCGUUUAUUUACCUAAUUACGUUUUUGCCCUUAAAAAAAUUCAUUAUUUACGUAAAAUACCUAACCCUAAUAGACCGAGACGCUCUCUCCAUCUCAAGCCUUCUCUCCAUCUCAAGCUCUCUCUCCAUCUCUCUCGAAUAUCUCCCUCUCCAUCGCUCUCGAAUCUCUCCCUCUCCAUCACGAGGCCUUCGACACAAACCCAUCUUAAGCUCUCUCUCUCUCUCGAUCUCCAAAGCAUCUCUCUGUUCUCCGACAAACCCCAUUCUCUUUGAGGUCAUAGUCACAUUCUCUGUUUGACACUGAUAGUGAUGGUCACUGUUCUAAUUGAUGGUCUCUCAAGCUCAGACUCUCUCAAGCUCAGACCCUCUCAAGCUCAGACUGCUGCUGUUCUCGAGGUCUGUUGUGAUAGUCUAGAUGUUUGAAUGGUUCAAGCUUGCUCGGACAACCAUUGUUCCUCUCCAGCUUGCUCAGACUAUGUGAUCUUUUCUCAUUAUUCUCUUGUUGUACAAAGAAACUUGUCAUUGUAUUGGAAAAUCUGUAUCAAAGAACACAAUUUUGUUUCAAAUCUCAUCUAUUUCCUUUUA